AUGGGGCGGGGUCUCAAGUGUGGGGCGGAGCCUGAGGUUUGGGGCAGGGUCUUUAUGAGUGGGCGGAGUUUCACAUUGUGGGCGGGGCCUCAGAUUGGGGGAGGAGUCUCUUGGGGGUGGAGCCUUGAGUUGGGGUGGAGCUUUUGGGAUGGGGCGGGGCUUCAAAUUGUGGGUGGGGCCUCAGAUUGUGGGUGUGGUCUGAGAUCAUGGGUGGGGUCUCACCUUGGGGGAGGGGUCUGCGGGUUUGGGCGUGGUCUCAGAUUGUGGGUGGGGCUUCAAAAUGUGGGCGUGGCCUCAGAUUGGGGCGGGGCUUUGUCUUGGGGGAGGGGUCUGUGUUUUUGGGCGUGGUCUGGUUGUGGGUGGGGUUUCAGAUUUGGGGAGGGGUCUGCGGUUUUGGGCGUGGCCUCCCCACAGCUGACCCCUCCCCCCAGCCCAGCCCUCCCCCCCGGGCCAGGCCCCUCCCCCCGCGCCGCUGCUGCCCGGGAAGGUUCUGGUGCCCGUGGCCCCGCCCGGCCCCGCCCUGACGCCCUUCGGCCCCCCCGGCGCCGCCCCUCCCCCCGGCAAGGUGCGUGCCCCUCCCCCACCCACCCCCUGCCCCUCCCCCACCGCUCUGACCCCACCCCCACCGCUCUGACCCCUCCCCCUUUAUCCCCCCCCAGAUCAUCCAGCUCAGCCCGGUGCCCCCCGUGGGGGGAGGGGCGGGGGCGGCGGCCGCCCCUCCCCCCCCCAAGGUGCUGCUGCCCCCCGCCCGCAUCGCCUACGUGCACCCCGCCCCUCCCCCCGCCCCUCCCCCGCCCGUGCUCGGCUUCACCGCCCUCGGCCCGGGGGGGGCGCUGGUGCAGCCCCUCCUGCCCGGUGAGUGGGGGAGGGGAGGGGUGGGGGUGUCCUGGGGGGGGUUUGGGGAGGUUUUGGGGGGGUUGGGGGUCCUGGGGGGGUUUUGGGGGGGUUGGGGGCCUUGGGGGGGAUUUGGGGAGGUUUCGGGGGGGUUGGGGGUCUGGGGGGGUUUUGUAA
rnacentral:lncRNA from 1 species